rnacentral:rRNA from 1 species
CCUACGGGAGGCAGCAGUGAGGAAUAUUGGUCAAUGGCCGUAAGGCUGAACCAGCCAAGUAGCGUGAGGGAAGACUGCCCUAUGGGUUGUAAACCUCUUUUAUGCGGGGAUAAAGGUGUCCACGUGUGGAUGUUUGCAGGUACCGCAUGAAUAAGGACCGGCUAAUUCCGUGCCAGCAGCCGCGGUAAUACGGAAGGUCCGGGCGUUAUCCGGAUUUAUUGGGUUUAAAGGGAGCGUAGGCCGGUCUUUAAGCGUGCCGUGAAAUUUUGGGGCUCAACCAUGGGAGUGCGGCGCGAACUGGAGGCCUUGAGUGCGCGGAAGGCAGGCGGAAUUCGUGGUGUAGCGGUGAAAUGCUUAGAUAUGACGAAGAACCCCGAUUGCGAAGGCAGCCUGCCGCAGCGGUACUGACGCUGAAGCUCGAAAGCGCGGGUAUCGAACAGGAUUAGAUACCCGGGUAGUC